AAGUAGUUGUCAAGCAAUAUUUAAUUUGUCAUUUGGUAUUCUUCUUAUUCCCAGAAUUUAUCACUUCAUCCUUCUUCUUUCUUGAUUACAAAUUCUGUCAUUGGGCC